GACAGAGGAUGCAAACGUUGCUCGGAAUUACUGGGCGUAAAGCGCGUGUAGGCGGUUCCGCGAGUCGGGUGUGAAAGCCCGGGGCUCAACCCCGGAAGGGCACUCGAUACUACGGAGCUGGAGUACUGAAGAGGAGAGCGGAAUUCCCGGUGUAGAGGUGAAAUUCGUAGAUAUCGGGAGGAACACCAGUGGCGAAGGCGGCCGGCUGGGGGUGCCCUGACGCUGAGGCGCGAGAGCGUGGGGAGCAAACCGG
rnacentral:rRNA from 1 species